rnacentral:rRNA from 1 species
CCUACGGGUGGCAGCAGUGGGGAAUAUUGCACAAUGGGGGAAACCCUGAUGCAGCGACGCCGCGUGAGGGAAGAAGUAAUUCGUUAUGUAAAGCCCUAUCAGUAGGGAAGAAAAUGACGGUACCUGAGUAAGAAGCACCGGCUAACUACGUGCCAGCAGCCGCGGUAAUACGUAGGGGGCAAGCGUUACCCGGAUUGACUGGGUGUAAAGGGAGCGUAGACGGGAUAGCAAGUCAGACGGUAAAGGCGGGGGCUCAACCACCGGACUGCAUUGGAAACUGUAAGGCUGGAGUGCAGGAGAGGUAGGUGGAAUUCUUGGUGUAGGGGUGAAAUGCGUAGAUAUUAAGAGGAACACCCGUUGCGAAGGCGGCUUACUGGACUGUAACUGACGUUGAGGCUCGAAAGCGUGGGGAGCAAACAGGAUUAGAUACCCCAGUAGUC